GAUUAGUGGCGAACGGGUGAGUAUCACGUGAGUAACCUUCCCUUAACUCUGGGAUAAGCCCGGGAAACUGGGUCUAAUACCGGAUACGACCAGUCCUCGCAUGGGGUGCUGGUGGAAAGAUUUAUCGGUUUUGGAUGGACUCGCGGCCUAUCAGCUUGUUGGUGAGGUAAUAGCUCACCAAGGCGAUGACGGGUAGCCGGCCUGAGAGGGUGACCGGCCACACUGGGACUGAGACACGGCCCAGACUCCUACGGGAGGCAGCAGUGGGGAAUAUUGCACAAUGGGCGAAAGCCUGAUGCAGCGACGCCGCGUGCGGGAUGACGGCCUUCGGGUUGUAAACCGCUUUCAGCAGGGAAGAAGCGCAAGUGACGGUACCUGCAGAAGAAGCGCCGGCUAACUACGUGCCAGCAGCCGCGGUAAUACGUAGGGCGCGAGCGUUAUCCGGAAUUAUUGGGCGUAAAGAGCUCGUAGGCGGUUUGUCACGUCUGCUGUGAAAGCCCGGGGCUCAACCCCGGGUGUGCAGUGGGUACGGGCAGACUAGAGUGCAGUAGGGGAGACUGGAAUUCCUGGUGUAGCGGUGAAAUGCGCAGAUAUCAGGAG
rnacentral:rRNA from 1 species